UGCUUUUGUUUCGCUGGUAGGCUUUCCUUCCCAUACACGCUUCUUCCUCUUUUGUCUCUCUGUCUCUUUCAUUUUUCCUCCUUUCAACUAGGUUGCGGCAGCCGCCGCCGCCACCGCCGCUGCCCCAUCGCCCCUCUGGCGCUGCCGACCGGAGAAAGGCCUGCUUCUCCUCAGGGUCUUCACUUUUGUGGCUAAUCUGAUAGGAAGGGCGGCGCUGCUCCUUCCUCGACAGCAAGGCGGGUGUCCCGCGCGCUCGGCAGCGAGGGAGAGGCUGCCACCUCUCCUCACCUCCUCCCAUGUUCCCAGCUCGACCGCCACCAUGAGCUCACCGGAGGCCAGCGCGGCCGUGCCGCCCGCCGACUCGGAGCCGCCGCCGCCGCCGUGGGAGCCCAUCAGUGGGGCGCGCGUCGAUCUGCCGCCCAACCCGGAGGACGCGCUCGAGGUGUUCGUCGACGGCCAUACCGUGCGGAUCCCCAAUGGCUUCUCCGUUCUCCAGGCCUGCGAGGUCACGGCAUCGACAUCCCGCGCUUCUGCUACCACUACCGCCUCUCCAUCCAAGCAUGGCGAGCCUCCCCCUCCGAGGUCCUGGCUGCCGGCCUCCUAGCACGGUGGACCUCCCCCAUCAUCAUUCUCUGAUUUAGAGGCUACAGCUUCCGACACUCCGAUCUUCUGCAGCGGCUGGCGGUCGUGUCAACUCACUGCUUAUCUCGUCCAUCUCCAAGCCUCCAAUAUGUUAAGUCCUCAAUUCCUCUUCCUCAGUUCCUCAUGUUGUCAAUCUAUCGUGGUUAGAUUGAGUUUCAAAAAGGAAAAGCCUUGUGUUGAUUGAGAUUCAAAAUGAAAUGGAAAAAGCUUGGUUCAAUUUUGGUUGACGUGGUUCCUUACAUGUAUUCAUGGGCAGAUAUAACUUAAAUGUAUGUUUGUUUUUUUACAAUAGAAGGCUAGCAAGAUAUAUUUAUCAGGAUCGGUGCCUAAUAUGCACUAUGGAUGUUUAAAUUUGAUUGCCGCUGGGUGCUGUAGCAUGUAGACUGAAGUCUGAAAUGUUGUUCUUAUGUAUUUUGGGUGACGAAUUUGAUGCUUAUGUUAAAUUUUUGGGGGUUUCUUGGGGGAAGAAAAUAGUGGAAGUUAAUUUAUUGGCAUCAGUUAGCAGUUAGCACUGCUGGUUUAGGAUCUUCAUCGUGAACGUCUUUAGCUAAUGGCUUUGCUAUUUGAUCAUGGGGAGAGUGCCAGAGAGCAUAAUAUUAGGCUUCUUCUUGGGAUAAUAAUAGUAACAUGAGUUUGAUCUUAUUUGCAUGGCAAAUGAUGAGUGCAAGGAAGGAAAGGUGCACAUGAUCAACGCUGAAGAUGUCUUCAAGGCGCUCUAUGAGAUUGAGUUCCCAGAGUUUGUUGAGCCCCUGAGAACUGCAUUGUAAGGUUGGUAGUUGCAUAACUUGAACCAUGAUGCUUUCUUGCCACUGCUGUAGUCUCUAAUGGAAUUGCGAGAUAAUUUAGUUAAGAUAAUCUCAUUGGUCUGCACUCUCAAAAAAUCAGAAGAGCCAUUUAGAAAAAGACUUGCAGAGUUUUUUGUUGUUGAAAUUUCGUCCACAUGAGGUCGUCCUCCUCUCUGGUUUUGCUGAUUCCGACGGCGUCGGCUAGACCUACAGGAUAUCUGUGGCAUUUGUUCUUAUUAGGGUGUCAAUGCUGGCGAUGAAAAGAUUAUUAAUGCUCUUAUUUGGGUGUCAAUGCUGGAAGCUGCUCAUGAGAAAUGUAACUUGAAGGUAUAAUAUAUCUAUUCAAUGUCGAGCCUCUGUCCCCCUCUUCCAAAAGUUUGCUUGAUCGCGCCCGCGCCAUGGCCGCCGAGCUCCUUUUUGCUCCACCCGCCAACCAGAUCGGCCGAUGAGGCGGAUUGCCUCGAGGCGGUGGACCAUGGAGGCAAGGAGGUCAUCCAUGGUGUGUGCAUCCCCGACAUUCGCUCAUAUUUUCCUCCUCCGCUUCACGGACGCCGGGGACUCGGGCAUGGCCGCCGCCACACCCCCGCUCCCGCUGACCUUGAACUGGCGGUUCUGUUUCAGUUUUGCGUUGUCUGAUUUUGGUUCCGACGAUUCUUGAGUAACCUGAAUUCACUUCUUCCAAGGGGUGACAGUCAGCUGCGUGACAUGAAUUUUGACACUGUAUGAGAGUCAUCCUUUGCAACAACUGAUAGCUAUAUUCUUGAUACUAAUCUAUUACUGUAUCAACAACAUGAAUGGAUCAAAUCAAAAUCUUCUUUCAAGAGUAAAUGGUGCUUCUGUUGCAUCUUGUGAAAACAACAAUUACAGUAUUGAUAAAGAAACCAACUCAUCUGAGAUUAAAUCAGCAAAUAAGAUACUUACGCCACUUCCGGCAAAUCGUUUUCCGAAACUGAAUCAAGUGAGAUCAAUACUGAGUACAAGAAGAAAAGAAUUCCAUCGGUUUCUACAUCAUUACUACUUUUACUGGGUGUGAAAGCGGCAAGUGUUCCUUCAUGCCAUUUUUUUUGCUUCCCAUAUUGUGGACUACUUUAUUUCAGCACAAACAUUAGUUAUUAACAUCAACUUUUCCCAUGUAUUUUAAAACUAAUUGAUUUCCCUUCAUCAAAAGCGGACAAUUGAGGGCUCUUCUAUUAUCAAGCUGCUCAUGUUUUGUGCCAAGAGUUGCAAGUUAACUUAUUAAUAAUUGGAUACGGGCAUAUCUUAGAUUUUGAGAUUGGACAAAAUACUGAAUCAAAUGGUAACUAGAGGAAAACAAUUGCUCCAGAUACAUCAUUUUUUUCUUCACCUCAUCUGGUCUUUCUCUGAGAUGGCGUUGUCAAGAUUACUCUUGCGCUGUUUUUCUAGAUCUUGCUAUUUCUCUGCUUCUAUGCAUGAACCUAAACAUGUCCAGUAUUUUGCAUGCCUUUGCUUGCUACACUAAUAUGCAGGUUUUGUGAAAUGAUGAACAAGACCUCUUAUUUUCAAAGUAUAUGCUAGAGAGUACUCAUUGAAUUUAUAAAGAUGAAGUGUUUGUAAAAUUGCUUAAUAUCUUAUGUCUUGCUUGUGCAGUUGAGGAUGGUUCGGAGGGCACCAGGAGAGAGAUUGUAUCAUAUUUCCUGUCAGCUGUGCUCUGGAUCUUCUCCUAUUCAUAUAAAUAACAACACAUUCCUAUGAAGGAAUUCAUAUAGCUUACAUUUCAUUGCAUCUCCUAUGUCAUUUUUAAUUGGUUAUAUGCAUGUGUUGUUGCAGAAUUGUUUCUAAGACAGGCCGGUUACUAUAAUUAAUUGAAGCAGAG